rnacentral:lncRNA from 1 species
AGUCUAUACAGCAUAUAAAACCUAUAAUAGAUCUUUCGGUUAGUCAUAACAUAUAGUUAAGUAUUAGACAUUAGUUUUAAGUCUUAAUAUUAUUAUUAUACUUUGAUAUUCUUUUAAUCACAUCAUAACUUAUACUUAUAAGUUAUUCAUUUUUAUAUGUUAUCCUAGUAAAUUAGAUAACAUCUUAGUAAACCGAAAUACCAUUUCAGUAAGACGGAUUUUAUUUCAGUAUCCCGAAAUCACUAUUCUUUUUCACGAAAAAUACCAAAUCAACUUAUUAUUUUUUUAUCCUUUGGUCAAACAUAUAUACAUGUAUUUCAUACAUAAAAAAUAUUUUUCCAUAAUUUUUCAAUUUCUUUUACUAUUUUUCAAAAAUCAUAAAUAGUGCGUGACUUAAGAAAAUUAGCUACCUCGUGCUUAACUCCAGAGAUGCCCAUCUUUUGACAUAACCUUAUAUAUGUUAACGUGAUGCUCCAUUUUAAAUUUCGUGGCAAUCGGAGUUGUAGAACUCUGGUUAUAGCGAUUUCCGUCGGAAAAUCACAAAAAUUAGAAUAGUCAUAACUUGGCCGUUUUAACUCGGAAUUAGCUCAUUUUUGGACACGAGCUACAUAAUACCACAUAUUUUCAUUUCCCGAAAGCCCGGAAUUUUUCUCACAAAAUAAAUUACCGAAACAGCCUCCGGAAAAUUUUUGGCAGUUUACUUUUGCACAUAUGCAGUUUUGGAGUCCUUUACCAAAACUUAAAUAAAAUGAAAUCUAUAACUCCGAUUAAUGAUCCGUCAAUUUUGUUGGAUUCCUAUCUUUCCGAACUACAGUUUUCAUCUAUCACAAUCCAUAUUUGGACAUGUUAAGCUCCCAGAAAUUAGCCCGGAAGUGGCUGUUCAAAACUGUCCUUCUAACAGUUUUCUUAACUUUGAGUAGUUUGGGAGAAAUUUCAUAACUCUCUCCUCCGAUGUCGGAUUUAGUCCGUUUCGGAGUCUAUGGAAAGCUUAUUGAGUGUACUACAACAUAUCAAAAGUCCAGAAUUUUUAGACCAUCCAAACAAAUUCGGAAUUUACUGUUUAGGGGCAGCAGUUACCAAUUCAUUUUAAAAAAAACUGUUUUGCUUUUCUUUCUCUUGAUCAAGCUUGUCGACCCUAAAAAUGGCAUGAUCUAACCAUAAAACAUCAUAUAUCAUGUAGAUCUAUAGUUCUCAUGUUCAGGAUCAUAAACUUCAUGGUUCAAAAUAACCAAAAAUCAAAUACAAGAUUAAACACAUUCAAGAGUAAGAAAAAUAAGAUUUCCUACACCUUAAAAACCUAGCUUCACUUUUCUUGCUUUUGAUCUAUCUUUUGAAACAUAAAAUAGAUAGAUCCACACAUAAAACACUCUAAAUCAUGUAGAUCUAGAGUUUUGAAGAUCAAAACUCAUUAUUUUGACAAAAAUCAAACACAUAAACUAAUUAGAGUUUUGUGUUUAAGAAUUCUUAUACCUUGCUUUGAUUUUCUUUCUUCUUCAAAGAUAUGAGAUGGAUCUUGGGGUGUUGUUCUUGGCUUGCUACAUGAUAAUCCUA